GUUUUUAGUAGAGACAGGACUUCACCAUGUUGGCCAGGCUGGUCUCAAAUUCCUGACCUCAAGUGAUGUGCCCACCUCGGCUGCCCAAAGUGCUGGGAUUACAGGCGUGAGCUUCCGUGCCUGGCCUGAACUGCUAAGUGUUUGUGAAGAAUUAUUUGGGGGCCUAUUUGAGAGCUGUUAUAUGGAUCAUCCUCCUGGAGAGGGUUCUUAAGCCUCUGAGACCAGGUUUGGGGCUGAGGCUUUCUGACCCACACAAGUCAUGCUGACCCCUGAAGGGCCGCAGGCCAGAUCUUGCCAGGUGAGCACUUUCCCUGCUCACAUUCAGGAUAGGGCGAGGGGGUUGGUACUGAUUCACCCUGAGGGCCUAGAUUUGGGGGCUUCAGCUUGCUGCAGAUAGGUGCUCCCUUCACUCUCACCUGAGGCUGGGCUGGAGCCUGGUGUCUGCCCCACCCUGCUGGUCAGCCCCCCAGGACCUGAGCCCCGUAAGCCUGGACUGGCCACGCCCUGGGGCAGCAGCACUGGGUGCUUGGCGCUCACGACCUUCCUGGGCCCCUGCGUCCCUCACUUCUCCCUUGUUUCUACCUUCCUGGCUUGUCAGAUUCCCACAGCUCUUAAGGAGAAAUUCAGUAUUUACUGCGGCAUGUGUUUUCAGUGUGAUGGUUCGUCCAGGUACCCUAGCCUGUCAUUGCUGGAGUUGGAAAUCUCUGUUGUCUGCUGUUGUUUUGUGAAACAAGCGUGUGAGGUUAUAAGUUUCCCUCAACGUACCACACUAACCACAUUUCCCUAAGUUUUGAUGUGUAGUGUUUUCACUGCCAUUCAGUUCAAAAUAUUUUCUCAUUUCAAGUAUGAUGUCUUCUUUGA
rnacentral:sRNA from 1 species